GCGAGAGUAGCUCAGUUGGUAGAGCACCACCUUGCCAAGGUGGCUGUCGCGAGUUCAAGUCUCGUCUCUCGCUCCA
rnacentral:tRNA from 1 species